ACAACUGGGAGGAACUUCCUAUAUUUCCCGGUGUGCUUAGGAGGCUUCUCGCCUGGCAGUUUCUUGUCAAAUUUCCCACCACUAGCGGUUGAUGUCGAUGCCAUCCCAGCUACGCUGGUGAGGUCUUCUUUGCUAGCUUUCUUCGGUGCAUCUGUCUGAGAUCCUGUGAUGGGCAGUGCUGUUGCCGCAAGUUGCACAUGGCUUGGCAAGGCACCGGCUUUCAUUGCCUGUUUUAGAUUCUGCAGCCGGUUCUUCUCCUGCUUUCCAACUCGUUCCUUCUUCUCAGUCUUCCUUUUGCUGAAUGGAUCCUGCCCAGGCUCAUCUGUUGGUUUGGCCUCGAUGAUUGGAAUGUCCUCG
rnacentral:misc_RNA from 1 species